UACCCGGAAGAGUGGCCCAGCUUGCCUUGCAACAGCGAUCUCGAAGAACCCAUGGUAUUGGACCCCCCUGAGGAUACCACUCUGACCCAGAGGAAGAAAUCUGAGCUUGGUGGACUGUUGAAGACCUUGGAUACCUCUCAAGUUCCCCAGCAGAUGGAAGGUUGGCCUCUGGACAUCUAUAGAAAUCCAAUCGAGACCUCAUCAAGACCCUGAAUCCUAUGGGAAACGGCCCCUGACGUGCCCUGGGAGCCAGUGGAGAUUUCAGCAAGCUACUGGAGCAUCUCUUAAGAUAUCUGAAGAACUGAAUUGUCCCAUGUGGCCCCCAGAAAUCCUAGCAAUUGCAGAGAAAUGCUGUGACAUUUGGGCCAAAAAUAAGAACGUGUUAAAAAUGGUACAGAAAUAUUAGUCAUACACCCUGCUCCCCCACCCCAGAAGCAAUAAGAGGCAAAAGCCAGUCUGAAACAAAC